rnacentral:SRP_RNA from 1 species
GCCAGGUGUGGUGGCGCAUGCCUAUAGUCCCAGCUACUCAGGUGGCUGAGGUGGGAGGAUUGCUUGAGCCCAGGAGUUCUGAGCUGUAGUGCGCUAUAUGGAUCAGUUGUCCACACUAAGUUCGGCAUCAAUAUGGUGACCUCCCGGGAACAGGGGACCACCAGGUUGCCUAAGGAGGAGUGAACCAGACCAGGUCGGAAACAGAGCAGGUCAAAACGCCUGUGCUGAUCAGUAGUGGGAUGGCGCCUGUGAAUAGCCACUGCACUCCAGCCUGGCCAACAUAGUGAGACCCCGUCUCU